rnacentral:rRNA from 1 species
UAUACGGCCAUACCACCCUGAAUGCACCCAGUCUCGUCUGAUCUCAGAAACUAAGCAGGGUCAGGCCUGGUUAGUACUUGGAUGGGAGAAUGCUGUGCAGAGUGCUGGUCCCUGGUGUAU